GUGAGGAAUAUUGGACAAUGGGCGCAAGCCUGAUCCAGCCAUGCCGCGUGCAGGAAGACGCAUCUAUGGUGUGUAAACUGCUUUUGUACGGGAAGAAACACUCCCUCGUGAGGGAGCUUGACGGUACCGUAAGAAUAAGGAUCGGCUAACUCCGUGCCAGCAGCCGCGGUAAUACGGAGGAUCCAAGCGUUAUCCGGAAUCAUUGGGUUCAAAGGGUACGUAGGCGGUUUAAUAAGUCAGUGGUGAAAGCCCAUCGCUCAACGAUGGAACGGCCAUUGAUACUGUUAGACUUGAAUUACAAGGAAGUAACUAGAAUAUGUAGUGUAGCGGUGAAAUGCUUAGAUAUUACAUGGAAUACCAAUUGCGAAGGCAGGUUACUACUUGUGGAUUGACGCUGAUGGACGAAAGCGUGGGGAGCGAACAGGAUUAGAUACCCGAGUAGUCC
rnacentral:rRNA from 1 species